AACGUAGGAGACGAACGUUAUCCGGAGUUACUGGGCGUAAAGGGCGUGCAGGCGGUCUGAUAAGUUCGGCGUGAAAUAUUCCGGCUUAACCGGGAUAGGUCGUCGGAGACUGUCGGACUAGAGGGUGAUAGAGGCGUGUGGAAUUCCGGGUGUAGUGGUGAAAUGCGCAGAUAUCAGGAGGAACACCGGUGGCGAAGGCGGGUCUCUGGGCCGAUACUGACGCUGAGGAGCGAAAGCGUGGGGAGCGAACAGG
rnacentral:rRNA from 1 species